UUGAAGACUCACCCUGGGAAUACUAAGGAGUACCUCUCCUUACCAGAGCUGUAAAAAUGUGAGGAAGAAAGAGGAACCCAAAGGUUGGGCAGGUGCACAGGAGACACUCUCAGCAUUAGUUCUCUCACGCCAGAAGGUGCGGGGCAUCUCCAGCUUCCAUGCCUCCCUUCACCCAGCAGAUUGAAUAACCUGGGUGCUUCGGAUCCUAGGACUUAAGGGGUUACCUGUGCCACACGGACAAGCCUGCCUUCAGGCAGAGGACUUACCUCAUUAUCUUCCUGACUCUGCUACCGUGCCUCCAGCACAUUGUCCAGGACAGAUUGCCACCGCCCCUCCAGCAUGUGGCCCAGGAGAAUCCGCCACCACUACUUCUGAGCCUGGCCUAGUAGUCAGUUUGACUGCGUCCCUCUGUCAGAUGUGCCUUAAAGGAAUGACGUACUUGCUCUCAUGAACGCGGAACUGAAAAAAAGGGAAUUCACUUCUUCUAGUAAAACCUGCAUGUGAAAAUGUCAAACUUACAUAACAGACUUGCUCCCGCACCUGACCCACCGAUCCUGCCGAGACCGGCUUCUCCUGUUCCCCUUCCCUUGUGUUCUCGUGUCCCGUGUCUGCUUGUAGGAUUGAUCUCACGGCUUUGGACCCCUGCCUA